rnacentral:rRNA from 1 species
UCCUACGGGAGGCAGCAGUGAGGAAUAUUGGUCAAUGGAGGCAACUCUGAACCAGCCAUGCCGCGUGAAGGAUGACGGCCCUAUGGGUUGUAAACUUCUUUUAUAUGGGAAGAAACUUAUCUACGUGUAGAUAACUGACGGUACCAUACGAAUAAGGAUCGGCUAACUCCGUGCCAGCAGCCGCGGUAAUACGGAGGAUCCAAGCGUUAUCCGGAUUCAUUGGGUUUAAAGGGUCCGUAGGCGGAUUUUUAAGUCAGUGGUGAAAGCCGACAGCUCAACUGUCGAACUGCCAUUGAUACUGGAAAUCUUGAGUACAAAUGAAGUAGGCGGAAUGAGUCAUGUAGCGGUGAAAUGCAUAGAUAUGACUCAGAACACCGAUUGCGAAGGCAGCUUACUAACAUGUAACUGACGCUGAGGGACGAAAGCGUGGGGAGCGAACAGGAUUAGAUACCCUGGUAGUCCACGCCGUAAACGAUCAUCACUCGCUGUUGGCGAUAUACUGUCAGCGGCCAAGCGAAAGUAUUAAGUGAUGCACCUGGGGAGUACGCCGGCAACGGUGAAACUCAAAGGAAUUGACGGGGA